AUUUGGCAUUAUCACUGCUGUGGCUCAGCUUCCAUCUCAGGGCUGGAAACUUCCGCAUGCUGGUGUGUGGCCAAAAAAAAAAAAAAAAAAAAAAAAAGGGGAAAAGAAAACCCCAAACCCAAAACAAAACAAACCAACAACAACCCAUUUGGAAAUGAGAUAAUAACUGAACCGCUGAUUUUUUUCACUCUUGCUGUGUUUGUUAAUUAAGGUUUCUUAUGUGUUUGGUUACUUUCUGGAGAAGACAAGGACUCAUAUAUCCAGUUGAUCUUGGGGACAUGGUUUUUACUUAAAAAUGAAAAUGGCUCAGGCUUACAUCUCCAUCUCCGGGGUUUUCAGGACUACGUGAAACGCACCAGAGACCUAUGUCAGCCUUUUGCAAAGGGCAGUGAUGGUGUCUGGGUAGCAGUGCCUGGAGCCAGACUGGGCCUGCUAGCAAGGGGGAGGCGGAGGGGAGGUAUGCUCUGGUUCUCCUUAGAGCAGGCUCCUGCCAUAGGGGGUGGAAAAAUGGCCCUUUCUGGUAAACACAGAUGGCUUGGGUAUAUCCCUGAGUUUUUACUUUAAAAGGUAAAAUUGAGCCAGACCUUCAAUCAGGGACAUGUGGGAAGUGUCCUGCACAGACAGAGGCAGCUGCCCGGAGGAUCCACGGUCACCUUUCUCAGGUGCACCCCCCCCACCUGCUCCCACCCCCCAAAUUCCCUGCCCUGAGCAAGGCCAGCCCCUCCAUUUCUCCCCUUCUCCCCUCAGCGCGGCGUCUGUCGUUCAGGUAUUAAUUAGACCUCUGCUCGUGGUGGUUUCUUUCUGGGAAAAGCCGUGUUAAGCAUCCAUCACACAGGGAGGACAGGGGGUGCAGGGGGAUGCUGGGGGAUGCUGGGCCUGGGCGGUGCUCGGGGCAGCGCGGAGCGGCUGAUCUUCACUCCCAGGUCAGAGGAGAGGCGCCUCCUCCUCCUGCCUGACCCUCUGAGUCGGCCUCUUCCUCCCCGCUCUGUAUUUCCACGAAUCCCUAUGCCGUGACAUUUUUUCUUUCAUUUCACCCUCCAUUAACCAGGCCAAGACGAUCACUGUACUAGUUACCUAUCACUGUGGAACAAAUUACCCCAAGAUUCAGUGUUUGUUAAGUGAACAAGCAGGUUAUCUCUCCCCGUAUCUGAGGCUGGGAGGCACUUAGAUGGGUGGUUCUGGCUCAGGGUCUUUCCUGAGGCUCUAGUUAAGCCAUCAGUGUGAGAGGGGCUGUCUGCUUCCAAGCCCAAACUUCUCAUGUGUUUGUCCAUAUGCCUCAUGUACGGCCCUAGAAAAGACAAAAAAGAGAAAAAGGAAAAAAAUUUUUUUUUUCUUUUUCUUUUUAGGGCCGCAUGUGUGGCAUAUGGAAGUUCCCAGGCUAGGGGUCAAAUUGGAGUUGCAGUUGCUGGCCUACACCACAGCCAGAGCAGUGCCAGAUCUGAGCCAUGUUUGUGACCUACACCACAGCCCACAGCAACACCGGAUCCUUAACCCACUGAGAGAGGCCAGGGAUCAAACCUGCAUCCUCAUGGAUGCUGUAUUGGGUUCUUAACCCACUGAGCCACAAUGGGACUCCUGUGGGCAGCUUUUGACGUAAAUGCUGGCUGCCUCUGGGGUGAGUGAUGAGAGACAGAGAGGGAGGGCGGGAGAGAGCAUAGAAAGGGGGAAGCCACAGAGGAUUUUUAUAACCUAAUCUUGGAAAUGAGAGGAAAUGACACACCAUCACUUGCCGUAUUCUAUUGGUCACACAGACCAACACUGGUACAAUGUGGGAGGGGAUCACACAAAGAUGUCAGUACCAGGAGGUGGGGAUAUUGGUGGUGACCUUGGAGACUGGUUACCAUGGUCACCAAGAGAGCAAAUGGCAGUAAUGGCCUUACUAAAGUAGGCUCAGUCCUUUCUAUUAAAACACGGAUUGCUCCUUCAAGAAGUCCUUCCUUUUCAUCAGCUUCAACCUCUUCAGCUUCUGGUCUCUUCCUCAGGCCACAGUGUGAUCCGACUCCUUGGCUUGAAGAUGCUUCACAUGACCUUUCAGUGUUUCCCACAUCUCCCCUCCCCAUCCACCCCAUGCCACCCUUACCCCUGAAGCUACCUGUGUCUUUUCAUCUAUUCACUGCCAAACUUCUUCCUGUUUGGUUUAAUAAGUUUUAAAAUCGGAAAGGGCUAGAUUCUAAUUCCAAAUGCAGCACUUUCCAGAUGAUCAUUUUUAGCUCAGCUUCUCAUCCCCAUAUUGGAAAAGAAGUCGGGUUUGGAGAGAGAUAAAUGCUGGCAUGGGACCUACACAUUGGAAUAGUGCAAUAUUAAUACGAGUAAAUUAUGACGUGAUCGUCUCUGAGCCUCAGUUUCCUCUUCUGUAAAAUAGGAAUUGCAUGUAGGAGCUAGGACACGCAUGUAUCACUUUCAACAUAAAUUAAGCCUCCAUUUCCUCCCUAUAAAGUGGGGAUCAUUAUCCCUGUUCUGUUUUCUUUUGAUCCGCACAAACUAUGAGAUGAAGUGAGUGAGGGCUCUUUGCAGAGCAGUUUCCUCGGUGAUAAUAGUUCCCAUUAGUGGACUGUCACCGCGGUAGGUGGGAAAGAAUACAGGCUCCGAGUUCAGGAUGUCUUGGGUUCAAAUCCUGGUUCUGCCACUUGCUUGGGCCCUUAGUUUCCCACUCUGUGGAAUGAGAAUCCCCGUCUGUGGGCUCACCCAGAGGAAGACUGGGAUCCUGUCUGUGGAGGCUGCACGUGGCGGCCCCUUUCCCUUCCUGCCUCCUCCCGGGUGUACUUCCCAGUAUUUCGCAGAGUGUAUGAGAUGGAUGUAUGACGAAUUUACCCUAAAGGUGAGCACCGCAGUUUCUUGUUCUACAAUUUUCCAUUAGUGACUCACUAUACCUUCAGCAAAUGACAGAAAAUGGGAGGAAAAUAGUGUUUGACCACUCAGAUGCCUCUUGUCUUGGAGAACUGUCCUGAUUCCCUGAUUGUCGUGAAGAAGAAAAACAUAAAUGCCUUAUUUAUGGCUUUAUUCUCAUUCCAGAGAGGAACAGGGGGUUCUUUCUCCAGUUGUCCCUGUCCUUCACUGGGGAGGAGCCCAGGGACGUAUUCUACAGCUCAGUCAAGAGCUUUUCUCCAAAUUCAGAUGUAAGCCUUGAGCAAAAGGAAUCACUCUUUCACUCGCUUAAGACUAUCAUCUGAUUUCUUAAUAAAACUUCACUUCAAAGAAGGACUCAUUUAGCUAUCAAAUAUUUCUUCAGCACCUCCUACCUACCAGAUCCUGCUUUGGCAGCUUGGAGGGAUUGCCCAGAACAGAGAGAGGUGAUGAGGGCAGUGUGGUGUGAUUGAAGGAGCCUGGUUCUGGUGCGAAGAGACCUAGGUUCACUUCCCAAUAUUUAAAUUCAUUUCCUGUGCAACUUUGAGCAAAUCACCAAACAUCUUUGAGUCAGAGGUAUAUAAUAAAUUCCCGUUUUUGUUGGUCGAGGCACGUGGUAGGCUGGCAAAAAGCCCUAGGCUGCGACAGACCUGGGACAGAAUUCCGGCUAUGGCACUUAGUAAAAUGUGACCUUGAGUAAGUCAUUUUACUUCUUUGAGUCUCAGUUUCCUCAUCUGCAAAAUGGGCAUAAUAUGACAUCUCUUGAAAGACUGUUGGGAUGGUUCAGAGCUAAGAGUAGCAAAAGAAGGACUUACUAUAAUAAAGUCCAAGGGAUGGCGAGGAUUUUUCCAGAUCAAACUCGAAUCCGUUCUGGCUUUCCUAGACCUUUUUGAGGUUAACUUCCCUUAUUGAAUGAUUAAGACUGCCUGAAGCAGGCUGUAGGAGGACUACAGUCUUUGGAUUUUUCCAUUUUCAAUAAAACUAAAAUUGUUGGUUGCUAAAACUCCAAGUGAAAACAAAGUAAUUUAUUAAGGUAACUUCUGCAGCUGGCUUUUCCUUGCCAUGGGUCCACCCUCCUCUUGGUGAUGGUGCAGCUGGCUUUCUCUGCAUAUAUACUUCUGCCUUCUAUGACUCAAGAAGUCCCCACCUCUCCUCUCCCAGCUCUGACCUCUCCCAACUUUUUCUACCAGGUCAUGUCAGAGAAAGCAUGUCUCUCGUGGGCUUUUCCCUGGAUGGGCCCAGAGUUUCCAUCCUUUGGUCCAUUUUACAUAGGCGAACACGUCUACUAAAUCCUGGCAUUCUGACCUGUGGGUAGACUGGAAUCCAAUGGUCUUUCUGGGUAGAGCCCUGUGAGUCAAGAGUGGAAAAUGAGUCGCUGGUGUCCUGAAUCUAAAUGUCCCCUGGCCCUCCACCCUUAGAGGGUGGAGGCCUCCCUAAGGCUUUGCGAAGAUUUUCCUUAGAGUACCAUAGAGCAGGGGUAUUCCUUUGGAAUCCGUACUUGCCAUGGAGUCAGGCUGGUGGCAGCGGCUCGGUGAAACUUCAAGGGCUCUGUUUCCUCGAGUUGAUAUGCAUGGACUUUCAGAGAGGGAGUGAAAGGAGGAAGCAGUUGAAAUUCAUUUAAGGGCUUGACGAAGACCUGACAGUGUCAAAGAGGGUAGAAGGGAUAAUUGGUGACUGCGUCCCUGUUGUCUUAAAAGCUGAGUGGAUAUUUGUAAAAUGUGAAAGAGAGAUGUGAUUCGCUGAUGCAACAGGUAGGGGUCUUUCUUGUUAAUUUUCAGUUACUAUGAGCUUUCACGGCAGUAAUUUUACAGGGUCUCACGGUCAGCACUUUGGGUCUGACACCUACCUGGGAGAGGGUUCCGAGCUCUCCUCUCUGAAAGCCUCAGCUUCCUUGUUCGUAAAGGGAGGAUGAUGAUAGUUCCUGCCUUAGAUCCUGGGUACAGAAGUCAGGUUGUAUGGCAGGAUGUAAAAUUCUUCAAAAACUCAGAUCCCCAGGCGAUUGUUGGACAUGUGGAAGCAAAUACAGCUAGCUGUGCAAAGCCGAAGAGAAAGGAAUGACUGGGCAGCAGUAUCUGUGUUGGCUCAGGGUCAUGAAUGGAAAACUUGGCUGCAAGGGGACCUCUUUGUUCAAAAAAGAACAUUCCUCUUUAUUAGCUGAUUCUUAAAGUGGUCCCUCCCAUGCGUGUCCACUGUGGUUCUGGUCUGUGGAUUCACCAGCAUGUGGAUGUUGCUAGGAUGGCAGAUUCCAGCCUGUUAAUGGACAGCCAGUUUGUCACAAACCGAGAAAGGCUCUUCCUUCCCACCAAGAGAGUUUGAUCCCAGACUCUGGUCCAGUUUGGGCUAACUUAAGCUCUGAAACUAGCCCCCGAGUAUCUUAGAAAUACUUGAGGAAGAAGAUAAAAAAGCCUGUUUUCUUUGAGCUUUUGAUAGCUUCUAAUACAGUUCUUCUGUUUCUUUUGAAAACAGAGGUUUGUUUUGAGUUCAUAGAGUCAGAGAAUUUAGGACCUGGGUGGUGGUAGGAGGACUUUGAGUCCAUCAGAUGCAAUCCUUUCAUGGUACAGUGAAGAAAAUUUGAGUCCAGGGUGGGGAACAGGCUUACCUGAGGUUACGCAGCCCCAUGUCCUGUUGGGAGACAAAGCUGGCACUGGUCUUCUUUCCUGCUUUUUAGUGAAGAUCCUGUAACAUAUCAAGAAGUGGAUCCAGAGUUCUCAUUGUGGCUCAGUAGAAACUAACCCAGCUAGUAUCCAUGAGGAUCUGGGUUCAAUCCCUGGUCCCUCGGUGGGUUAAGGAUCUGGCAUUGCCGUGAGCUGCAGUGUAGGUUCUGUGUUGCUUUUUUGUGGUGUAGGCUGGCAGCUGCAAUUCCCAGUUCCAAUUCCACCCCUACCCUGGGAACUUCCAUAUGCCAUGGAUGCAGCCUU
rnacentral:lncRNA from 1 species